rnacentral:lncRNA from 1 species
GAUGAGUUACCCCUUAGGAUGUUCUUAAUUAUGUGGCAUAUUUUGAAAUACUCCUUUAUCGUUUAAGUUUUAAAUUUAGAGCAUUCCGGAUGACUAUAAUCCUAUACUUUAUCUGCAUGUCUACUUCUAACUAUUCUAUUAUAUUAAAAUGUGAACUUCUAAAUUAUAUUAUGUUUUAUGUAUAAUUGGGAUGUCACAAU